AAUUGGGAAUAAUGAUUUUGGCGGUGAACAUCAAAACAUCACAGCGAAACUUUUUUUUAGCUCAACCUCGAAACCCUUAAUCCCUAAAUCUCAUUGCCGCUUCCCCCUCCCUCCUCCGCUUCUCGUCAAUCCACCACCCUCCUCCCUCUCCCUCCUUCGCUUCGCUAGCCUCCACUCCUCUUCCUCAUCCUAUCGUCAUCCUCUCCUCCACGUCACCUCCCCUCCCAUUCUCUGCUGUGGAAGCAGAGUUCUAGAUGCUCCAACGGUCUCCCCAUAGGCCUUUGCCCAAAGGUGUCAGACUUCUCGAUCGAUGCCGACGACCGCUUUCAGUGCAGCCUUGAUGCCCCCUGCAUGGCCACCUUCGAGAGCAAGGUCCUCUACAAUGCCUGCGUCUCUGGCACCAUCUCCCCCAUGUCCCCCCUUCAUGUUCUUCGAGAUCCGUUGUUUGUUUGCUUGGGCCUCCUGCGGCGCGAGUGGGAGCACGAAUGAGAAACCACUCACCAUCGAGCUCCAGAAGGUGUAUAGGAGCUACUGGACUCGCCGCAGGUUAGCAAACUCUGCCGUCGUCGCUGAAGAGCUUUGGUGGCAAGUGAUAUACUUCGCUCGGUUCAAUUGAAGCAUGAUGCCAUUCUUCGAUCACGGGAAGCAAGAAACGGUGAUCUCGCGGUUGAGCUGCAUCAGUUUGAAUGCUUCCAAUGCUCGUUCCCAUAUAUCUCUAUGCAAGAAGAAACUUUUUUAAUUUUUUAUGUUCUGUGCAAGAUAAGAAUUUGAGAGAACUAUGAGCCCUUUCUUCUGACUUCCUGAUGAACUAGUUAGUGUGUUCCUUUCAGAUGAAUAGUUUACCUUCCCAUAAAUUAUCUUAAAUAUAAAUUUCAGGAAAGUUUAUAUGCUUUAUCAAUUAUGCAGGUUAGAAUGUAUAAUCAUGAAGUUGAGAUGUUUCUGUUCCUAGAAAUGAAGCAUGCUAUUAUUGUAUAUAACUAUUCCGUAACACUUAAAUAUUUAUUUUCUGAUUCAUUUAUGUUGGCUAAUAGCUACAAAUUGAACAAUACUAAUGGUUUCUUUUCUGCUUUUUUAGUGCCUCAACACUAAUGGUUUUUUUAUAGGAAUGGAAGGGGUUGAUAAAGAGAAAGUACAAAGGAUAAUUUAUUAGAUGAGCAAAAGGUCAAUAUAUUUUGAGAAUGAGAAAAGAAAAGAGACAUUCAUUAAAUAGAAAAUUGAAAGCUUGUGUGCAUAACGUGCAAAACUUACAUAGUAGGAUAUUUCACAUUUCCAAAUGGUAGGCAUUGGUUAGUGAUUUAUUUUGUGGGUCUUUGUUUGCUUUGAUAUUUGAUUCCUAUUUAUGUUGAGGUUUCUAUGCUUAAAUUAGAUGAUACUGCAAACAUUGCUAUGCUAUCGAGAAUGUUUCUCUACACUAAAAUGUUCAUGCUAACUAAUUUACCUAUAGAUGUUUUAUGGAGUAGCAUAAAUUUUAACUACAAUAAAAAUGCUAAAAGAUAACUGUUUUAGGAAAAAAUUUUAUGACUUCUAUAAAACACAACAAAACUAUUAUCUUUGUGGUGUUAUAAAAUAUAAAAGACAAUGGUUUUACACUAUCCGUUGUCUUUGUUUCAAAACCUGUAUCAUGUGUCACUUCAAUGGUUUUACACUAUCCGUUGUCUUUGUUUCAAAACUUGUAUCAUGGGUCACUUCCUCAUAAAUAGAUAGUAUAUGCUUGACUUCAAAAGCAGUGCAUUUGUUUCAUUAGAUCUUAAUGACAGUGUUCAACAUAAACACCUGCAUCUAAAAAUAAAUUGUCAUGAUAUGAAUAUUAUUUUUGAAUAGGUUCAACCUGUGGAACUUGAGAAAGUCUUCUCAAAAGGUGCUUGCUUCGUGGUCCAAGAUCAGUAAGGAGAGUGAUGGCUCAACUUGAACACGCUAGGAAGAACAUGAUUGGUGUUGACUAGCACCACCUUGCAAAAGUUUUUCUUCUGACCUUCACUAGUCAAGCCUUUACAAAUUCUGAGUUGUCCUAGCUUCAUUGUUUAUGUAAUCUCAUUUAGUAGCCUCUACUUUUUAAGCUUGUAGAUUCUGUCAAGUACUGUAGGUUGCUUAAGAAAUAUGUGCUUCAAAGUACUAUGUAUCCAUGCCCACCAAAUAUGUUUGAUUACAUAUUGUCUUGCUGUUUCACCUAACAUACACCAUCCAUAUUUCAUUUAAUCAAUCUACAAAGAGUGGUUGUCAACAAUCUAAUUAUGCUUCUUGAUGAAAUUGAUAAGAUGAGUUCUGAUGUCCGGGGGGAUCUAGCAUCCACAUUGUUGGAAGUUCUUGAUCCAUAACAAAAUAAAAUUUUCAAUGAUCAGUAUCCUCAGCUAUGCUACUUGCUGAAUUUCUAUUCCAUAGAACUUCCCUACUAGCUGGAUGUUCCUUAAAUUGAUAAGAUGAGUGCUGAAUUUAGUAAAAUAAGAUUUAAAUGUGUGUCUUUCCAAUUCUCAUGUUAAUUUGAUUAAUUUUUAAUUGUUUUAUUGUAAAAAUUCCUUAACUUGUUUUUCAAUUAUUUGAAUGUUCCUUUUGAUCUAUCAAAGGUAAUUUUUGUUGCAACUACAAAUAGAAUUCAACCUAUUCCUCCUCCACUCUUAGAUCAAAUGGAAGUCAUUGAGCUUCUUGGCUAUACGCCUGAAGAAAAACUAAAGAUAGCACUCAAGCAUCUUAUACCACGAGUCUUAGAGCAGCAUGGAAUAAGCUCUCAGUUUCUUCAAAUUCCUGAGGUAUAUUUUCAUCAAAUUUAGUUUUGUUAGAUUAGAAACAAACUUCUUCAAAUACUGAAAUUUUUAUUAAGGUAUCUAGUAUGAAAGUUUUAACAAUUUUAGGCAUAAAAAUGUUUUUGCUCACUAAUCAAACUAUUCAAUAGUUCCUUUUAUAGUUUGGAUCUUCUUUAGAUGUAUAUGAAAAAGAUGAUACUACUAGUAAUUCCGCAUUAAAAAUUCUAGUUUUUCUUUAUGUUCACUAGUAUAAUUCUAAUUAUGUAAAAACAAGUCAUUUGAACAUUUGAACACUAACAUAACCUUUUUAAUCCCUUAGAAUAUACAGGGAACUUAAAAUCAUGUGUCAAUUUGCAAAUAUGUAUGCUAUAGGUAGAGAUACAAUGCCUAGUUUGUUCAUGAAGACAAGAAAACUUAAGCAUGCCUAUUUAUUUGCAGAUUAUGUAAAUAUGUGAUUAGAGGUCAGAUAAAAUUUGGCAUGAAUAGAUGUAUGUGUGAGUGUAUAAUAACAUCAUUUUAUCACUUAUUUGUUGUCUAUUUUACAAAAGUUCCUAUGAUUCACAAAGUCUUAACUUUUAAUCAGCCCAUAUAUCUGGAAUAGCAAGUAGGACUUCUAAUUGUCCAUGCUCCUUAUUAGUCUGAUUUAAAGGUAUAUUUAUAAUCUUUUCUCUUUGGGGGACCAUUCUCUUUAUCAUAUAGUCACUGGUCUUUAUUGGUGGAGGAAGCUAGGCAUCACAUGUAUGUGCAGAGUGGUAAUUCAUGUUUGAACAUGGUUUUUUUUUUAUCACUGACAUAUAGACUUGGUGACAAAAUUUUACAUAGUUUUGAUAUUUAUGUAAAUAAAUUAAGGCAAAAUAGGAUUCACAUUAUUUUUCAUGUGUGUUUAGGUAUGCUGGUAAUAAAUCUGUAAGGAUAAAAUUGGUUUGAUGUUUAUCACAUGAACAUUGUCACUUAAUUAUACCAUGUCUUAGUACUAAUUAAUUAAUACUAAUAAGUAUGUUUGUUUCUCAUGUGAUUAAUUUCAAUGAGUUCUAUUGAUAAAUUUAUCUUUCACUAGUAAUGGAGCUAGCAAUGAUGAUAGUGACUUGAAUAUUUAAUUUCCCUGAUUUCCUUUGUUCUAGUCUUGAAAAUUUUCUUGCAUUUAAUGCCACAAUUCAGUCAACUAUUGUCUUUUGAAUCUACAGCAUUAUCAUUUAUGAAUAUGGAAGAAUGUUGUGAAUGUGUAAAUUUUAUUAGGAAAAUGAUGUGAAUAUUUAUUAUAAUUUUUCCUUAUAUAUUAGACCGUAUAUUUGAUCAGUAGGAAAGUUAGGUAUUGAAACUCUUUUUGUAUCUUCUUAAUAA